ACACUACUCUUUAUCCUAAACCGUUUUGAAAUAUUUAGUACAGUUCUAGAUAGAUUGUGGAUCUAAAUCGUGAGUUUACUAGGUAUAGUUGGAAACAGAGAAGUUUUCCUAUAAAUUAUCUUGUAGCAUGACGGUCUUGAAGUUUGAAAGUCUAGGUCUUUCUUUAUUUGCUUCCUGGGAUUGUCGUAGAUUCCUGUUCCUGGGAUUUUUGAGGAGGAUGUUAAAGGAUCUAACUGGCAGGAAAUACCUAUGGAAAGGAAAAGGUCUGUAUAUUUGAUAGACCUUCAAAUUCUGUAAUUGAUGUUUCUCGGUUUGUUCUUCUUGCAUCGAUAUACAAUGAAAAAGCUAACCAUGCUGGGCCUUUUUCGCAGCUUUUCUUAAUAUAGGUCUCUCUUUUUCCAAAAAAGAAAAAAAUUAGAUUUUUUUUUUUUUACACAAUAUGCUUUCAACACUCAAAUCCAUUAGAAACUAAAAAUUUUUAGAAGUGACUUGUUUUCGAUAUUGUAUAAUCUUUAUGUUCAAAAAUGCAAAACCAAUACUAAAUUGGCCCUUCAUUCUUGACCAUCCUUUUAGUUAGUCACCACUUGCAGGGAGAUUUUUUGCACAAUAUAAUUGUAUCAGUUUUACAAAUGCCUCGAUCCAUUUGUAAUAUUAGAGUGACAAUUUUACUCAAUGCCUUCACUUUGAAGAGGAUAAAUUCAAUUGUCUCCCCCUCCCCUCCAACCUAACAUGUGGCUACCCAAGCAUUCCUACCAUUACUGUAUGCUAUAAGUUUCCAUGAUAGUAUAUUAUAAAAGAAAGUUGAUAGAAAAGCAUUCUUUCAUGUGCUUAAUUUUGCAGCUUCUAUAACAAAGAAGAAAAUUAAUGAAUUAUUGUGGUUGAUUAUAAUUACAAAUUAAUAUUUAAAACUAUUAAUUUAUUUUAUUUUUACUCCUCUUUCCCAUCCCAAAUAUGUGUAAUAUAGUAAGAAUCCUUGUAUAGGAAGUAUUUAUUGGUGACAUAUUUGCUCAUGUACCAAAACAGGACAUAUUUGUCUUCAACAUCUAUUUCUUUGGGAAACCACUUGCAAGAUGUCGCACUGAGAUUGAAAAGCCUAGUUUUUGUUAAAAGUUUAUAUAUUUUGAGAGUUGUUUUGCAGAGUUGUAGUAGUUGUUUUCACUGGGAAAUUUCUUGCAUCUUUGGGUAGCUUUAGGUUUCUAAGGAAACUUUGAAGUUAAUUUUAUAGUCUUCUUCACUUCCAUUCGUUCUAAUUUACGUUCAGAACUUCUGAUUCAUUAAUUCAUGAUGUUCAUCGAUGAUCAUCAGUGUUAUGGUGUACAUGUGUUACCUUUUUUGCUAUAUUUCUAUCAAUUUUGGUUACUUCUCACAUCUCAUGGUAUGUCAAUGGGUACUUGAAUUCAUAAUUCUUUUAAUAUGUAAUAAUACCUAUUCCUGCCGGACUUUGUUUUCCUACAUUAGAAAAGCAACUUAAUGCUGUUGUGAAUCAAGCGAAAUCUGAGUUUUAUCUUGAAAGAAAUAUGGAACAAUAACAUGUUUGACUGACAACCUUCUUGAAUAAAAUAUAUUGAAUUAAGAGGUGGAAUGAUGUGUAUUACUUAGGUGUAUUGUGUUUCUUAAUUUUUGUAAAGAUAAACAUAUAAAAAUCUAGGACUCUUGUGAAACUCAGGAUAUGGAUAAAGAAUGUCAGGCAUUACACAAUCCCGUAAUUAUUAGCUUACGUGCAAUUUCCCUUGGAUGACAACCAAUUGUUAACCAAAUGGAAUACAUCAUAUAUACAAGUUUCAUUCUGUUCAAUUAAUUGCCCCAAAUGUAAAAUUCGUUCCACUGUUAUUUCACAUGUAGUGUUCUCUUAUUUCAUUUAUUUAUGUUCUUUCAAUUCUCCAUCUCUUUACUUACAAAAUGCCGAGUACGUUCUUUUCCUGUCUUGUCUGUAUCUUUUUUAGGAGUCAAGUUUUAUCACCAAAUUAGAGAUGGAAGGAUUCAAGAUAGUAUUGCUCUUAUUAGCAGCUUUUCUCUUUGCAAUUCCAUCUUCCUUUGGCAUAUCUGAACCAUGUAAGAUGGUUUGAAGGUGGUCUUCGUGCUGUUCUUCAAUCUCCAGAAUGUUCUGAUUGGAUUACCUUUAAACUUCCUUUUAAAAACCGGACUAGGAAUUGCCAAUUUUCAUAUAUUCAUGGACGAUUUGAUCACAAAGAUGAUGAUCGGCUAUCAUGUAACCUUGAUUUGCAGAUCCUAUUUCCUGGUAAAAAUGGGCAUGAAGAGGUCAGGGUUGGUGUGGUUGCAGUAUUUGAUGGUCAUAAUGGUUAUGAAGCUAGUGAGAUGGCUUCUAAACUUUUAUUGGAUUAUUUUUCAGUGCACUCUACAUAUAUUGCUGAUGAGGGAAUGUUACAAUUUGAGGAAGAACAUGUCAUGGUUGCUGAAGAACCUAACAAAGAUGAAAAACCAGAGCAAUAUAAUUCAAUUCUUGUGAGGUCCGUCUUCUUUUCAUUGUAUCAUGACUUUAUCAUGAAAAUAAAAGACAUGGGAAAUUAUUC